rnacentral:rRNA from 1 species
UUAGAACGCUGGCGGCAGGCCUAACACAUGCAAGUCGAGCGGCAGCACGGGAAGCUUGCUUCCUGGUGGCGAGCGGCGGACGGGUGAGUAAUGCAUAGAAAUCUGCCCGGUAGUGGGGGAUAACCUGGGGAAACCCAGGCUAAUACCGCAUACGUCCUACGGGAGAAAGCAGGGGAUCUUCGGACCUUGCGCUAUCGGAUGAGUCUAUGUCGGAUUAGCUUGUUGGUGAGGUAAUGGCUCACCAAGGCGACGAUCCGUAGCUGGUCUGAGAGGAUGAUCAGCCACAUCGGGACUGAGACACGGCCCGAACUCCUACGGGAGGCAGCAGUGGGGAAUAUUGGACAAUGGGCGAAAGCCUGAUCCAGCCAUGCCGCGUGUGUGAAGAAGGCCUUCGGGUUGUAAAGCACUUUCAGUGGGGAAGAAAGCCUUGGGGCUAAUACCCUCGAGGAAGGACAUCACCCACAGAAGAAGCACCGGCUAACUCCGUGCCAGCAGCCGCGGUAAUACGGAGGGUGCGAGCGUUAAUCGGAAUUACUGGGCGUAAAGCGCGCGUAGGCGGUCUGAUAAGCCGGUUGUGAAAGCCCCGGGCUCAACCUGGGAACGGCAUCCGGAACUGUCAGGCUAGAGUGCAGGAGAGGAAGGUAGAAUUCCCGGUGUAGCGGUGAAAUGCGUAGAGAUCGGGAGGAAUACCAGUGGCGAAGGCGGCCUUCUGGACUGACACUGACGCUGAGGUGCGAAAGCGUGGGUAGCAAACAGGAUUAGAUACCCUGGUAGUCCACGCCGUAAACGAUGUCGACUAGCCGUUGGGCUCCUUGAGAGCUUUGUGGCGCAGUUAACGCGAUAAGUCGACCGCCUGGGGAGUACGGCCGCAAGGUUAAAACUCAAAUGAAUUGACGGGGGCCCGCACAAGCGGUGGAGCAUGUGGUUUAAUUCGAUGCAACGCGAAGAACCUUACCUACCCUUGACAUCGUGCGAACUUUCCAGAGAUGGAUUGGUGCCUUCGGGAACGCACAGACAGGUGCUGCAUGGCUGUCGUCAGCUCGUGUUGUGAAAUGUUGGGUUAAGUCCCGUAACGAGCGCAACCCUUGUCCUUAUUUGCCAGCGAGUAAUGUCGGGAACUCUAAGGAGACUGCCGGUGACAAACCGGAGGAAGGUGGGGACGACGUCAAGUCAUCAUGGCCCUUACGGGUAGGGCUACACACGUGCUACAAUGGCCGGUACAAAGGGUUGCGAAGCCGCGAGGUGGAGCUAAUCCCGAAAAGCUGGUCUCAGUCCGGAUCGGAGUCUGCAACUCGACUCCGUGAAGUCGGAAUCGCUAGUAAUCGUGAAUCAGAAUGUCACGGUGAAUACGUUCCCGGGCCUUGUACACACCGCCCGUCACACCAUGGGAGUGGACUGCACCAGAAGUGGUUAGCCUAACUUCGGAGGGCGAUCACCACGGUGUGGUUCAUGACUGGGGUGAA